CCAAAACCUCUGCCCAUGUGCCACACCUGAUUCAUCUUACGCCAUAACUUCAGAAGAGAAACCAACUUAUCGGCCUCAUCUCUAAAAACACCCCCUUAACAUCGGCUCAUUUCCGCCUGUACUCCACAGGAGUCGCGUUUAGCUUUGGUAGCUCUGCAACAAAAAUAAUAUUUGCGGUUAAUAAUAAAUGCGCCGAGAUGCUUUGAAGUUGGAGGUUGCUGGUUCCUCUGAUCCAAGCCGGUGUUUGUACGCGCACGGGCUGUCGGUGGCUGACGCUAAGGGGGAGUGUAAUUCCAAUGAUAAAAUCACUGAAGAGGAGGAGCAGCCAGCGCGGACCCCUGACUGAGGUCCCAUUAAUCCUGGUUAGUGUUUCCUGUGGCCACACCAGGACAACAGCCGUUACCUCAUAAUUUGCAGAAGAGUAAAGAAGAAGACACAGGAGAGAGAAAAGGACAUCUGGGGGUCGUGUACUGGGCUAGACCAUGUAGAAGAAGCACACCAUCUAGUACCUGAAAUAGGAGGCAAAUAAAGACGCUGUUUUGGUUUUUGAACAUUGCCUCUCCGCGGUUGUAUCAUAGACCAUAGAGACCCCAGGCAGAGAUGAAUGGAAGUAAAAGAGAAAUGGAAAAAAAGAGCGAGA
ensembl:lncRNA